AGUGAACGCUGGCGGUAGGCCUAACACAUGCAAGUCGAACGGCAGCACAGUAAGAGCUUGCUCUUACGGGUGGCGAGUGGCGGACGGGUGAGGAAUACAUCGGAAUCUACUUUUUCGUGGGGGAUAACGUAGGGAAACUUACGCUAAUACCGCAUACGACCUACGGGUGAAAGCAGGGGAUCUUCGGACCUUGCGCGAUUGAAUGAGCCGAUGUCGGAUUAGCUAGUUGGCGGGGUAAAGGCCCACCAAGGCGACGAUCCGUAGCUGGUCUGAGAGGAUGGUCAGCCACACUGGAACUGAGACACGGUCCAGGCUCCUACGGGAGGCAGCAGUGGGCAAUAUUGGACAAUGGGGGCAAGCCUGAUCCAGCCAUACCGCGUGGGUGAAGAAGGCCCUCGGGUUGUAAAGCCCUUUUGUUGGGAAAGAAAAGCAGCAGGUUAAUACCCCGCUGUUCUGACGGUACCCAAAGAAUAAGCACCGGCUAACUUCGUG
rnacentral:rRNA from 1 species